CCUACGGGUGGCUGCAGUGGGGAAUCUUGCACAAUGGGGGAAACCCUGAUGCAGCGACGCCGCGUGAGUGAAGAAGUAUUUCGGUAUGUAAAGCUCUAUCAGCAGGGAAGACAUAGCGACCUUUGGGUCGCCAGACGGUACCUGACUAAGACGCCCCGGCUAACUACGUGCCAGCAGCCGCGGUAAUACGUAGGGGGCAAGCGUUAUCCGGAGUUACUGGGUGUAAAGGGAGCGUAGACGGCAGCACAAGUCUGAAGUGAAAUGCCUGGGCUUAACCCCGGAACUGCUGUGGAGACUGUGCAGCUAGAGUGCAGGAGAGGUAAUUGGAAUUCCGAGUGUAGCGGUGAAAUGCGUAGAUAUUAGGAGGAACACCAGUGGCGAAGGCGGCUUACUGGACUGUAACUGACGUUGAGGCUCGAAAGCGUGGGGAGCAAACAGGAUUAGAUACCCGUGUAGUC
rnacentral:rRNA from 1 species